rnacentral:rRNA from 1 species
GAUGAACGCUGGCGGCGUGCCUAAUACAUGCAAGUCGAGCGAACAGACGAGGAGCUUGCUCCUUUGACGUUAGCGGCGGACGGGUGAGUAACACGUGGAUAACCUACCUAUAAGACUGGGAUAACUUCGGGAAACCGGAGCUAAUACCGGAUAACAUGUUGAACCGCAUGGUUCAACAGUGAAAGACGGUCUUGCUGUCACUUAUAGAUGGAUCCGCGCCGCAUUAGCUAGUUGGUAAGGUAACGGCUUACCAAGGCAACGAUGCGUAGCCGACCUGAGAGGGUGAUCGGCCACACUGGAACUGAAACACGGUCCAGACUCCUACGGGAGGCAGCAGUAGGGAAUCUACCGCAAUGGGCGAAAGCCUGACGGAGCAACGCCGCGUGAGUGAAGAAGGUCUUCGGAUCGUAAAACUCUGUUAUUAGGGAAGAACAAAUGUGUAAGUAACUAUGCACGUCUUGACGGUACCUAAUCAGAAAGCCACGGCUAACUACGUG